GCCAAGCAGUCUCGACGAGAGCUUACCUGUUUAGCUGUUUACAAGAAUUUCGAUUAAUUUCUUUCAAGAGUGUCGAUAUAUAUUAUCGAUAAAUAUUACGUUCAAAUGGCUCGCCUCGUAAAUUGCUUGUUAUUAAAAUUAACUUCAAUGGAUGCAAUAAGUAUGUAUGUAUAUAUAAAGCUACGAUGGACCAGAUUAGCCAGACCUCAUUCGUCCGUCACUCCCAUUCGUCUCACUUCUAUAACAAACUCGAUUAUAAUUUUAAAUUUUAAAUUUAUAAUUUAAAUUUUAAAUUGAACGACCUGACGUUUUGAAGUCAUAUCGAGCUGGAAUACUAACGAUGUCUAUAUCGUAUCUGUCGUUAAUCUUGUUUCAACUGUUGUCUCUGUGGACGUGGAGAUCAAAUGCAGUCUGGAUACUGCAAUAAAGAUGUGUGUGGAAAAAAACCUCCUCCGCCCUGCUGUAUAGAUCACAAAUGUAGGCAAUGUUCUGCAAGCAUAUGUGGAGGUUUAAACAAGGCUAACCCCUGUUGUGGAACUGGACACUGCAAUAUUUUCUGCUGCAAUUGUUAUGGGGAUUGUUGGCCUGGAGAUCCAUAUAAGGAUUUUUAUAAGGUACACGCUGAUCGGCUAAUCCGCAAUUAGCAAAUAAAUUUAAAUAAAAACAAAUAAGAAAGCUGUAGUCGAGACUGCUCGACUACGAUAUGCCCUAAA